AUCUCAUUUUCUAUUCUUGAUAAGAGUCGAUUAGAUCGAUUAUGAUUUCUAUAUAAAAUUGAUCUAGAGUAAUUAAUUGCACAGGUAAAGAAUUAUGAUAUUUUAAUCCAAAGUUCGGAGGUUAUUAUUUAUUUGAAAGAGAUCAAGAGAAGAUGAUAUGUAUUAUGGAUGGAAAGAAUGUAGUCUUGAAAUGCUAAAUAAUUCUUUACAUCAAGAUCUAGUGAAGCAAGCACUUUAAGAGGA
rnacentral:lncRNA from 1 species